GGUUAUGGCUCAAUGGUAGAGCACUCGCCUACCACGUGCGAGGCACUGGGUUUGAUCCUCAGCACCA
rnacentral:tRNA from 1 species